rnacentral:rRNA from 1 species
UACGUAGGGUGCAGGCGUUAAUCGGAAUUACUGGGCGUAAAGCGUGCGCAGGCGGUCUUUUAAGUCAGAUGUGAAAUCCCCGGGCUUAACCUGGGAACUGCGUUUGAAACUGGAAGGCUAGAGUGUGGCAGAGGGGGGUGGAAUUCCGCGUGUAGCAGUGAAAUGCGUAGAUAUGUGGAGGAACACCGAUGGCGAAGGCAGCCCCCUGGGCUAACACUGACGCUCAUGCACGAAAGCGUGGGGAGCAAACAGG